AGUGAACGCUGGCGGCGUGCCUAAUACAUGCAAGUCGAACGGAGAUUAAGUAGCUUGCUAUUUAAUCUUAGUGGCGCACGGGUGAGUAAUAUAUAGCUAACUUGCCCAUUACUAAGGGACAACAGUUGGAAACGACUGCUAAUACCUUAUACUCCGUAUCUAUAUAAGUAGAUACGGGAAAGUUUUUCGGUAAUGGAUAGGGCUAUAUCGUAUCAGCUAGUUGGUAAGGUAAUGGCUUACCAAGGCUAUGACGCGUAACUGGUCUGAGAGUAUGAUCAGUCACACUGGAACGGAGACACGGUCCAGACUCCUACGGGAAGCAGCAGUAGGGAAUAUUGCUCAAUGGGGGAAACCCUGAAGCAGCAACGCCGCGUGGAGGAUGACACUUUUCGGAGCGUAAACUCCUUUUCUUGGGAAAGAAUUAUGACGGUACCCAAGGAAUAAGCACCGGCUAACUCCGUG
rnacentral:rRNA from 1 species